rnacentral:lncRNA from 1 species
UGACUAUGGUAACUUGAGUAACAAUGAGAACCAUGUGCAUCCUCGCUGAACACUGUUCAUGGUCAGAAUCCAUGGCAAGUUUUGUUUGUAGCCUGCAAAGCACCAAGGCGUCUGAGAGGCAGAAAUAUCUAAAGGGAAACAGGAAGGAGGAGGAGGAGAUUUUCUACAAGAAGGGUGACUGCCCCUUUUCUCCAGGCCCUUUCUGUCUUCCUCUGGGGUCUGCUGCUUCUCUACACAACACUGGGACCCAGAGAAGAAUGGCUCCUCUGUUUGCCAGCCUGCCUGCAUAUUGCAUCCAUUGCUCCUGCCAGCCAGCCUUUCAGAAGUUGAUAGAGUCUCAAGAAAAGUUACCUGGUGAAGAAAUAAUCAAGAAGAUUCAUAAUGAGUCAUUCGUGCAACUCUGCACAAGAUUUUUUUUUUUUUUAAUCAUCGUGGAAAGUGUUGGAUGCAUCCUUCAUACAUUGUUUCUGGAUUUUUUGAAACAGAAUGUUCCGAAUGUGUCUGCCUUAAGGAGACUGAGGAUAUUAAUGCCUUAA